rnacentral:tRNA from 1 species
GGCCCGGUCGUCAAGUGGUUAAGACACCGCCCUUUCACGGCGGGUUCAUGGGUUCGAAUCCCGUCCGGGUCACCA